rnacentral:rRNA from 1 species
AUACGGAGGGUGCAAGCGUUAUCUGGAUUCAUUGGGUUUAAAGGGUGCGCAGGCGGAAUGAUAAGUCAGUGGUGAAAUCCUACAGCUUAACUGUAGAACUGCCAUUGAUACUGUCAUUCUUGAGUACACUUGAAGUGGGCGGAAUGUAUCAUGUAGCGGUGAAAUGCAUAGAUAUGAUACAGAACUCCGAUAGCGAAGGCAGCUCACUAAAUUGUAACUGACGCUCAGGCACGAAAGCGUGGGGAGCAAACAGGAUUAGAAACCCUAGUAGUCC